GGAUUACAGGCAUGAGCCACGGUGCUUGGACGGUAUUUUUUUUUUAAUUGCGCACACUGCUCCAGUGUUGGCUAGUGGAAGGUUUUUAAGUUGUCUCUUGUAUCAUUUUGAAAUACCUCCAUAAUGAAAGUUUGAUGUUGUUGUGUGGUCGGUUGGUUUUGUUGUUGUUUGGCAUUUUCUUUUGUUCAGUCACUACUAUGUGCUCCAGUCUGUGUAUUUAAUUGUGCUCCAGGCUAAUUGGGUAAUUUUAUAAUUUCUACUAAUGUUUCCAACACCAGGUAACCUAAUCCAGCACCAUCUAAAUGGAUCCACUCAUUCUCCUUUGUCUGUAAUCUAGCGCUCUCCCUGCCAGCAAGCUGACGUUGUUAAUUUAAUCAUACUUCCUGAACAAGGUAUGUUGCUAUGUAAGAAAAUACAAGUUGAAAAGGUCAAAAUACUGUGUAAUUCCAUUUAUAUGACUCUCUUGAAAAGGAAAAAGUGUAGUGAUAGUAAAGAGUUCAGUGGUAACAAGGGGCUUGGGAGAGAGAAAGGUGAAAUCAGUGAACUACCGAAGAUUUCUUUUGGGCAGUGGAAUUGCUCUCCUCGAUACUGUAAUGGUGAAUACAUGAUCAUGUUUUCCAAAUCCUGAAGAACUUUGUAACACAAAGAGUGUACCUAAAUUAUGCAAAUUAAAAACUUUAUUUAGUAGGUAACAAGUUUGCCUUUUCACAGUAUUUUACCUUUUCCAACUUAUAUUUUUUCACAAUGUGCUUUUUAGAUUUUUGAAAUACACCUCAUGGUUUUUAGAUUUGCCUUCACCUAUUUUUUGUAAGACAGGUGAGUCACAGAACUGGGGCUUAUCCUGAGAGGGUUGUUAGCUUUGUCCAGGAAAGAAUUUAAGGACAAGUGGGUGAUGUUAGACUGCAAUAUUUUAUUGAAUGGUACUGCUCCUAGCAGAGCAGGGCUAACUCUUAAGCAGUGUGUUCAGAGUUGGCAACAUAUAGGCCUCUUGGCAACUGUAUUUAUAUGCAUUCAAGCCCACUUUUAAUUAUAUGCAAAUUGAAGGGCAGGUCAAUGCAAAUUGAGGCAGGAAAGGGACAGUGGCUUCUAGGUUGCCUGCAUGGAAAGGGGAAGUAACGUCUGAGUUGUGGCCAUGGAAUUUGUGAACAGUUAUGCGGUUGGUAGGAGUGUCUUAUGUGAGUGACAGAUGAAGACUGCCAGGGAUCACAGUUGCCGCGAUGUACUGGCUUCUGCCAGUUUUUUCACUUAUCCUGUCUGGAGCAGAUCCUGUUUUGGUCAUCAAGGUUGUGAAACCAGAAAACAAGUCCUUCCGGUCUCCUACCUCAUAAUGACAAAAGACACUGGGCAUAUUUUCAUGUGAUUUUGGAUCUGACUAUGGCUGUCUUUUGAGAAUUGGCUAUUUAAGAUUUUGCCAUUUUUGAUUGGGAUAUUUGCCUUUUUAAUUUUGAAUUGUAAGACAUUGCAUAUUCUGGAUAAUAGACCAUUAUCACCUGUGAAAUUUGCAAUUUUCAGAUGUUUUCUGCCAUUCUUUGGGUGCCUGUUCAUAUUUGUUGGUGGACUUUAAAUUGCAAAAGGUUUUAAUUCUAAUGAAGUUUAAUAUUUCUAUAUUUUCUUCUUUUCUUUGUGAACACUGUUUAACCAGAGACCACAAAGAUGUAUUCCUAUGUUCCUUUUUAUGGGUGGGGCCUGUUUACCUCUUAUAUUUAGAUGUAUGAUCAUUUUGAGUCUGUUAUGUUUCUGGUGUGAAGCAAGAGUCUAACUUGCAUGUGGAGAUGCACUUGCCCCAGAAACAUUUGACAAUAAAAUUUUGCUUCAUACCUAAUUUAUUUGGCCACAUUAUAAAAGCAUUUCACCGUAAAUGUAAGGAUUCAUUUUUGAGCAUUAUAUUCUACUCCAUUGAUCAAUACAUAUAUCCCUAUACUAGUACCACAAAUCUUGAUUACUAUUACUUUGUAGUAAGUUUUGAAAUCAGGAAGUAUAUGUCUACUAUGGAAACCCUUUUUGUCCUUCUCAAGAGUAUUUUGGCUGCUCAGGAUCUAUAUUAUAUAUAAUUUUAGGAUGACCUUCUAAAUUUAGGGGAAGGUAAUGCCACCUGAGGUUUUGAGAGAAGUUGCAUUAAUUCUAUAGAUCCAUUCGGAAAAUACCGCCUAGCUAACAAUAUUAACCCUUCUAAACAAUGAGCAUUCAAAGAUUUUCUUUUAAUUUUGUUCAAUAUGCAUUCUAUAGUUUUUAGUGUAUAUAUUUUGCGCUUAAUUUGAUAAGCUUGUUCCUAAGUAUUUUUGAUGCCAUCUCAAUUGGAAUGGUUUUCUGAGUUUUGUUUUUAGAUUGCUAGUAUCAAGACAUUUAAAAUAUUUUAUAUUAACAUUAUAUACUGCACACUUUUUUGAACUCAUCUUUAAAUUCUAAACAUAUUUGAUUAGAGUUCUUUGGACUUUUAAUACAUAAGAUCAUGUCAUUUACAAAUAGUCAGAGUUUGACUUCCUUUCCAUCCUAGAAACAUUAUAUUUAUUUUUCUAAAUGAAUUGCCCUGUCUACAUUCUCCAGUACAAUGUUGCAAACAAGUGUCAACAGUGGAAAUAUUUGGCUUGUUUCUAAUAUCAAAUAAAUUAGUGAACCUUUCAGAUACUUAUGAUGAUAUGUGAGUUUUUCACAGAUGCUCUUUGAAAUGAAGAAAGUUAUCUUAUCUGCCUAAUUUGCUGCAUGUUUUUAUAAUACUGAAUCUGGGAAUUUUCAAGUACUUGUUUGACACCUUUACUGUCACCUAAUUUUUGUAGGACAGGUGAGUCACAGAAUUGGGGUUUUUCCUGAGAGGGUUAUUAGCUUUUCAUAUUAACCUUUGAGAUGAUUGUAUAGUUUUUAUUCUUUGUUAAUAUAGUGUAUGACAUUAAUUGUAUCUUAUGUUGAACCAAAUUUGCGUUCCUGAGGUAAAUACCCUUUGCCAUAGUGUAUAAUGCUUUCUACAUGUUGCUGAUUUCAUUUGAUAAUAUUUCCCUGGUGAUUUUUGUCUCUAUAUUUGUAAGGCAUAUUGGUCUUCAUUUUCCUUAUUUGAAAUGUCUUUGUCUAGUUGUUCAAUCAGGGUAAACUAAUCCAUAAUAUACAAUGGUAAGUGAUCUAUUUUCUACUUAUUUAUUAUUAUUGUAUUGUUUUGAAAUAUUUUUGAUAAAUUAGUAUUAAUUUUAAGUGAUUUUAAUAACACACCAGUGAGUUCCUGAUGAGGGCAGGGAAGUGAAUCCUAAGAACAAUCAUGUGAGUUUGGAAGGAGACCCUUCCCCAGCUGAGCCUCAGCCUGAGCUAUCACCUACAUCUAGACCGAAGACCCAGAGAAACUGAAUUGUUCAGGACCAUGCGCUCUGUUGAUACUCACAUGGUAGAAUUAUAUUUCUCUUGGCCAACCCUAAAGCCAUCAAAAUAGCAGGUUUGGAAUAAUUCAGUGGUGAAGUCUUCUGGAGCUGAGCAGUCAUGUGAGCUUGGAAGAGGAUCCUUUCCCAGCUGAUCCUUCAGGUCAGACCUCAGUCUCGGUCAUCAUCGACAUCUGGAUUCCUGACCCAGAGAAACUAAUUAAGGAUCAUUAUUAAGUUGUUAAUGGGUCAAGAGAAAGUUACCACUGAAGUCUUCUCUACCUGGGCAACAAUUGACUCCUAACAACCACUAUAAGCUUGAAAGAUGAUCCCUCCCCAGCUAAUUCUUCAGGUGUCGGUGGGAUCCAAGGAUCUGAAAAUUCACUGUGGCCAGCUCACGGCCGCCUGGCAUCAAUGCAACCACAUGGUGUGUUUUAUGGAGGAGAAUGUGGUCUCUCUAUUGAUGAGCAGUUCGUGUGGACUCGAGAAGGUUGUGUGUUCUGCCAUCGAUAUGGUUUGACUGUGUCCGCACCCAGAUCUCAACUUGAAUUGCAUCUCCCAGAAUCCCCACGUGUUGUGGGAGCAACCCAGUGAGAGGCAUUAGAAGGUACUCCAGGCAAAAUUUUCAUCACUCCCUGCCAAAGCCUAGUAUCCACCAUUUCUUCAAAGCUUCCUAGUUUAUUUCAUCAGAAAGUGGAAUUAGAAAUGAAGAUCUGCCCACCAAGUGUACCUCUUGCUACUGGAGUGUCUGUAGAUUCAAGGCCUUCUCAGCUGACACAAAAAAAGAAAUAGUCUCACUCUGUUGCCCAGGCUGGAAUGCAGUGGUGUGAUCUCAC